rnacentral:rRNA from 1 species
AUGUCUUUUCCUCCUGUUCGGCCAGGAGAUGAAUGCUUUCUAAACAUUGGUAACAACAACGAGGUCAGAGAGUACCGCUCUAUUCAGUGCUCUUCUAAAUAUUGUGAGUGCAUGGCAUGCAAAGUGUUAACUGAAACCCCAUGGCCUUCUCGCCAUCAUCAACCUCCUCUUUGCGCUCGCCGUCAAUGCCCCCAUGGGCGGAGCCACAAGGGGAUGGGUGUACAUAUGUACACCCAUUAA